rnacentral:rRNA from 1 species
GAUGAACGCUGGCGGCGUGCCUAAUACAUGCCAGUCGAGCGAACGGACGAGAAGCUUGCUUCUCUGAUGUUAGCGGCGGACGGGUGAGUAACACGUGGAUAACCUACCUAUAAGACUGGGAUAACUUCGGGAAACCGGAGCUAAUACCGGAUAAUAUUUUGAACCGCAUGGUUCAAAAGUGAAAGACGGUCUUGCUGUCACUUAUAGAUGGAUCCGCGCUGCAUUAGCUAGUUGGUAAGGUAACGGCUUACCAAGGCAACGAUGCAUAGCCGACCUGAGAGGGUGAUCGGCCACACUGGAACUGAGACACGGUCCAGACUCCUACGGGAGGCAGCAGUAGGGAAUCUUCCGCAAUGGGCGAAAGCCUGACGGAGCAACGCCGCGUGAGUGAUGAAGGUCUUCGGAUCGUAAAACUCUGUUAUUAGGGAAGAACAUAUGUGUAAGUAACUGUGCACAUCUUGACGGUACCUAAUCAGAAAGUCACGGCUAACUACGUG